rnacentral:rRNA from 1 species
CAGCCGCCGCGGGAAUACGAAGGGGGCUAGCGUUGUUCGGAUUUACUGGGCGUAAAGGGCGCGUAGGCGGGCGAAUAAGUCAGGGGUGAAAUCCCAAGGCUCAACCUUGGAACUGCCUUUGAUACUGUUUGUCUUGAGUUCGAGAGAGGUAAGUGGAACUGCGAGUGUAGAGGUGAAAUUCGUAGAUAUUCGCAAGAACACCAGUGGCGAAGGCGGCUUACUGGCUCGAAACUGACGCUGAGGCGCGAAAGCGUGGGGAGCAAACAGGAUUAGAUACCCCCGUAGUCCCUGUCUCUUAUAA